rnacentral:rRNA from 1 species
ACUUCGGUACAUCGGUGACAGGUGGUGGCAUGGUUGUCGUCAGCUCGUGCCGUGAGAUGUUGGGUUAAGUCCCGCAACGAGCGCAACCCUUAUCUUUAAUUGCCAGCAUUCAGUUGGCACUUUAAAGAGACUGCCGGUGUUAAACCGGAGGAAGGUGGGAUGACGUCAAGUCCUCAUGGCCUUUAUGCUUAGGGCUACACACGUGCUACAAUGGGUGGUACAAAGAGAAGCCAACUCGCGAGAGCGCGCCAAUCUCAAAAAGCCAUCCUCAGUUCGGAUUGGAGUCUGCAACUCGACUCCAUGAAGUUGGAAUCGCUAGUAAUCGCGGAUCAGCAUGCCGCGGUCGAAUACGUUCCCGGGCCUU